rnacentral:rRNA from 1 species
UAGGGAAUCUUCGGCAAUGGACGAAAGUCUGACCGAGCAACGCCGCGUGAGUGAAGAAGGUUUUCGGAUCGUAAAACUCUGUUGUUAGAGAAGAACAAGGACGUUAGUAACUGAACGUCCCCUGACGGUAUCUAACCAGAAAGCCACGGCUAACUACGUGCCAGCAGCCGCGGUAAUACGUAGGUGGCAAGCGUUGUCCGGAUUUAUUGGGCGUAAAGCGAGCGCAGGCGGUUUCUUAUGUCUGAUGUGAAAGCCCCCGGCUCAACCGGGGAGGGUCAUUGGAAACUGGGAGACUUGAGUGCAGAAGAGGAGAGUGGAAUUCCAUGUGUAGCGGUGAAAUGCGUGGAAAUAUGGAGGAACACCAGUGGCGAAGGCGGCUCUCUGGUCUGUAACUGACGCUGAGGCGCGAAAGCGUGGGGAGCAAACAGG